rnacentral:misc_RNA from 1 species
UCCUGGCAUGACAAACUUUCCAGUUGCAUCAAUGACUUUGAUAUCGUCACUAACCUUGAUGUUAGGCUGCACUGCCACAAUUGUUCCAUCCUCUAUAUACACAUCAGCGACCUCCUUAUGAUGAGCAUUCACUACAGUUCCUCCUUUUAUAAGUAUCUUUGAUGAAACUGACGACAUAAAAUCGCACCCAGAAUCUCCAUAAAUAUUUGUGGCAUCACAAAACUGGAUAUUAUUGGAUUCAGAAAGAGGGAAAAGGGCAAGAAGCACUGAAAUCAAAGGAAUCAAAAGUUGAACUCUGAAGAAAAACUCCAUUGAAUCAAAUUGUUGAGUAAAUCUCUAUUAGUUGUGAUCAAAAUUGGAUAAAG